rnacentral:rRNA from 1 species
UGAGGAAUAUUGGUCAAUGGGCGGGAGCCUGAACCAGCCAAGCCGCGUGAGGGAGGAAGGCCCUAUGGGUCGUAAACCUCUUUUGUCAGGGAACAAAAGCGAGUAUGUAUACUAGUCAGAGUGUACCUGAAGAAAAAGCAUCGGCUAACUCCGUGCCAGCAGCCGCGGUAAUACGAAGGAUGCGAGCGUUAUCCGGAUUUAUUGGGUUUAAAGGGUGCGUAGGCGGCGGUGCAAGUCAGCGGUAAAAGCCCGGGGCUCAACCCCGGCGAGCCGUUGAAACUGCAGUGCUAGAGAAGGCGAGAGGUACGCGGAAUGCGCAGUGUAGCGGUGAAAUGCUUAGAUAUUGCGCAGAACUCCGAUUGCGAAGGCAGCGUACUGGCGCCUGACUGACGCUGAGGCGCGAAAGCGUGGGGAUCGAACAGAUAGAUACC